UACGGCCUUAUUAUGUUGCAACACUGGCUCUCGUACUAUCACCGAAGUUAAGCAACGUAGAGUCUGGUUAGUACCCAGAUGGGUGACUGCUUGGGAAUGCCAGGUUUUGUAA